AACUUUCAGCAACGGAUCUCUUGGCUCUCGCAUCGAUGAAGAACGCAGCGAAAUGCGAUAAGUAAUGUGAAUUGCAGAAUUCAGUGAAUCAUCGAAUCUUUGAACGCACCUUGCGCCCCUUGGUAUUCCGAGGAGCAUGCCUGUUUGAGUGUCAUGA
rnacentral:rRNA from 1 species